rnacentral:rRNA from 1 species
UGGGGAAUAUUGCACAAUGGGCGCAAGCCUGAUGCAGCCAUGCCGCGUGUGUGAAGAAGGCCUUCGGGUCGUAAAGCACUUUCAGCGAGGAGGAAGGUGGUGAACUUAAUACGUUCAUCAAUUGACGUUACUCGCAGAAGAAGCACCGGCUAACUCCGUGCCAGCAGCCGCGGUAAUACGGAGGGUGCAAGCGUUAAUCGGAAUUACUGGGCGUAAAGCGCACGCAGGCGGUUUGUUAAGUCAGAUGUGAAAUCCCCGGGCUCAACCUGGGAACUGCAUUUGAAACUGGCAAGCUAGAGUCUCGUAGAGGGGGGUAGAAUUCCAGGUGUAGCGGUGAAAUGCGUAGAGAUCUGGAGGAAUACCGGUGGCGAAGGCGGCCCCCCUGGACGAAGACUGACGCUCAGGUGCGAAAGCGUGGGGCAGCAAACAGGAUUAGAUACCCUGGUAGUCCACGCUGUAAACGAUGUCGAUUUGGAGGUUGUGCCCUUGAGGCGUGGCUUCCGGAGCUAACGCGUUAAAUCGACCGCCUGGGG